ensembl:lncRNA
GCCUCCUGCCAGCAGACACAUUUAAAUAUAAUGUGAUUGAUUAGAGUGACGAGGCCCUUAAAUGAGCGUCACAUUUGACCGACACGCGUAACGUUACCUUGUGUGAUACUUUGUGGGGCUUGUAGCCUCCAGGGGGCGCUGUCAGUCUUUAACAUCAUCAUAGGAUUCAUCUCAUGUCAUUUUGUAUCACAAAUGUGCCUCAUGUGUCUCUACAGUGUGAACACAUGUGAAUAAUACGUUAAAUUCAUCCGACAGAAAUGAUUCAAAUGAACAUGUUAUCUGCUCAUGUGUUCAUGAUCAUCUCCUGCUCUUCCUUUAAGUUUAUUCACCGUCAUACUGUUAAAAAUCCUGGUUUCUGUGAUCGACUCUUCCGCCUUCUGACGUGAGACGAUUAUCCUGAUGAUUGACAUCUGGUUCAAACUAACGAGACGUUUGAGCGCCGAUCCGCCUUCGAGGAACCGAGACAGUCUGAUGUCAAUCAUCUCGGUAACCUGAGCUGGGUAACGGGACAUUUGAUGGACUUAGUUGAACCACGUACGAGGAACAGGGUCCUGAUCUCUAUCGGAGGAGAAAAGUGGAAUGAUGAACACCUGAAGUAAACAAAGUCGACUCAACAGAACAUCUUUUAUUAAAAUAUUAAACUUUAAAUUCGGGGCACAAAAGCGGCACCUCAGUCACACAACGGAGGGCGUAGAGAGGUCAGUGAAGUGCGCACUGCCCAACAGAAACAAAGCAGGUAAAACAACAGCUGGAGGUCACCUGAGGGACAAACAUAAGCUCUCCAGAUCCAAAUGAACACUGUAUCCAACCAGUGGGAACGCUGACCUCUGGCUCCGCCCCCCUCAAUCCCAGUUUGUCGGGCCUGUCAUGGACAUGUAGUCGUCCAGCUCGGCGUCCAGGCGGCUCUUGGUCAUGGACAUGUACUCGUCCAGCUGUGCGUCCAGGCGGCUCUUGGUCAUGGACAUGUACUCGUCCAGCUGUGCGUCCAGCUGCUGCUUCGUCGGAAUGCAACCUUUGCUCAUGCACCGCCUCCCAGAGGAAAUGACCCCGCCCAUCUGCAGGUGUGUUCGUCCUGAAAAGGGUACAUGAAUGACAUGUUGCGCAUGUUUGCGUCCCAUACGUGAUGAAGACUGAGCCCCUCAGAGCGCAGUGAGCGUGAGCACAGGUGGGAGCGCAGGUGGGACAGUAUUAAGUACGUUUGAUCCACUUACUGAUCAUUUUGUGGAUCUUUGUCAUCCUCACAAGGCGACGCUUCCUGAGUCGUCUGUGAAUGUUUCCUGGUUCUGAACAGGAGGCACAUGUACAGGUGUAGCUACAGGCGAAGAAGGCAACAAAAACUACCACCAGGUACUUACUUCUGCAGGUGGAGGCGAAGCUGGUUCUCCACCUGUACUUGUUCAUGAAGCUCCAGAAGCCUGGAGGUCUGGACGUGCCCUGAUGCCAGCCGAGUCGAGUCCAGACGUUCCCCCUCCUGGAGCGCUGCCCCACAGACGGGUCAGGACGGGGAUCAGAGGGUUAACCAGGGAGGAGCUGUGCACACCUGGAGAAACCCCUCCCACAUCUACACCUGUGUGACUCACCGGCAGGCGGAGCGACCGUGACCUCUGCGUCUCCACCAGCAGCAGCGUCUGUGGGGGGACGCACCCCUCCUGCUGCCGCAGCAUGACCGGGUCAAAGGUUACACUUCUGGACCGGCUCCUCUGGUCUACCAACACCUGAGAGAAGCUACAGGUAGACGGGAGACGACAUGAUACUGGGUUCCAUUAGCUCAUCCGGUUUCCUCUUUUUGGACCCAAAAGAAAUGAAUUAAUGAACUAAUGAAAGAUUCACAUGAAAGUUCUGUUGUGAGCAGCAGAGUCUCACCGCUCGUCCAGAGACACUGUCGACGUACUUCUUGGGAAAAACGAGCUUGUUUCGGAUGAAUCUGUCGGCUGCGGUUCUCCGCGACUCAUCCUGCCGGCGCGCUGUGACGCAGAGCCGAGUCCGUGUACCUGCGCGAGGACCCGCACGCGCCGAUCGACCAGGACCCGCACGCGCCGAUCGACGAGGACCCGCACGCGCAGAUCGACCAGGACCCGCACGCUGAUCGACCAGGACCCGCACGCGCCGAUCGACCAGGACCCGCACCGGAUGCCCGUGAGGACGAACACGAGCUGUUCCCGUUCAUAAGCCUGACAGUGGGAACCGAACCCUCAUGCAGUCCGUAAGUGGGGCAUUCUGAUUAUUCCUAAUUACUCUACUGCUCUUUAAUGCAUAUAUAUAUGCACACACAUGUGUGUGUGUGUGUGUGUGUGUGUGUG